UACGUAGGUGGCAAGCGUUGUCCGGAUUUAUUGGGUUUAAAGGGUGCGUAGGCGGCCCUAUAAGUCAGUGCUGAAAUAUCCCGGCUUAACCGGGAGGGUGGCAUUGAUACUGCGGGGCUUGAGUAAAGUUGAGGUUGGCGGAAUUGACGGUGUAGCGGUGAAAUGCUUAGAUAUCGUCAAGAACACCUAUUGCGAAGGCAGCUAACUAAGCUUUAACUGACGCUGAGGCACGAAAGUGUGGGGAUCAAACAGGAUUAGAAACCCGCGUAGUCC
rnacentral:rRNA from 1 species